rnacentral:rRNA from 1 species
AUUGAACGCUGGCGGAAGGCCUAACACAUGCAAGUCGAACGAGUUGCGGACGGGUUAGUAAUGUCUGGGAAACUGCCUGAUGGUGGGGGAUAACUACUGGAAGCUGUAGCUAAUACCGCAUACCCUUAUAUGUGCCCAGAUGGGCUUAGCUUGUUGGUGGGGUAACGGCUCACCAAGGCGACGAUCCCUAGCUGGUCUGAGAGGAUGACCAGUCACACUGGACCUGAGCAACGGUCCAGACUCCUACGGUAGGCAGCAGUUGGGAAUAUUGCACAAUGGGCGCAAGCCUGAUUCAGCCAUGCCGCGUGUAUUAAGAAGGCCUUCGGGUUGUAAAGUACUUUCAGCGGGGAGGCGUUACCCGCAGAAGAAGCACCGGCUAACUCCGUGCCAGCCGCCGCGGUAAUUC